rnacentral:tmRNA from 1 species
GGGGGCGUCCUGGUUUCGACGGAUGGUCUGAGGUGGAGGCUGCAUGCCGCGGACGAUGCGUCACCGCGUAACAAUCGUGUCAAACCAUAACUGCGAACUCUAACGAGCUUGCUCUCGCGGCCUAAGCGCCACGACGUGCCCCCGGUGAAGUCUGUGAACCGGGCGCGCGACUACUUACAGGCUGGCCUGACGGGCGGGCGACCGGCCCCAAGGCGAGACUAACAGGACGCUGGGAGUGGAGGAUGCUGUGAGCCGCAGCCGCCACUUCGAGACCAAAUGACUCACUACGCAUGGAGACGCUUUCAUUGAUGGCGAUUCGGACAGGGGUUCAACUCCCCUCGCCUCCACCA